rnacentral:rRNA from 1 species
UGGAAACAGAUGCUAAUACCGAAUAAAACUUAGUGUCGCAUGACACAAAGUUAAAAGGCGCUUCGGCGUCACCUAGAGAUGGAUCCGCGGUGCAUUAGUUAGUUGGUGGGGUAAAGGCCUACCAAGACAAUGAUGCAUAGCCGAGUUGAGAGACUGAUCGGCCACAUUGGGACUGAGACACGGCCCAAACUCCUACGGGAGGCUGCAGUAGGGAAUCUUCCACAAUGGGCGAAAGCCUGAUGGAGCAACGCCGCGUGUGUGAUGAAGGCUUUCGGGUCGUAAAGCACUGUUGUAUGGGAAGAACAGCUAGAAUAGGAAAUGAUUUUAGUUUGACGGUACCAUACCAGAAAGGGACGGCUAAAUACGUGCCAGCAGCCGCGGUAAUACGUAUGUCCCGAGCGUUAUCCGGAUUUAUUGGGCGUAAAGCGAGCGCAGACGGUUUAUUAAGUCUGAUGUGAAAGCCCGGAGCUCAACUCCGGAAUGGCAUUGGAAACUGGUUAACUUGAGUGCAGUAGAGGUAAGUGGAACUCCAUGUGUAGCGGUGGAAUGCGUAGAUAUAUGGAAGAACACCAGUGGCGAAGGCGGCUUACUGGACUGCAACUGACGUUGAGGCUCGAAAGUGUGGGUAGCAAACAGGAUUAGAUACCCUGGUAGUCCACACCGUAAACGAUGAACACUAGGUGUUAGGAGGUUUCCGCCUCUUAGUGCCGAAGCUAACGCAUUAAGUGUUCCGCCUGGGGAGUACGACCGCAAGGUUGAAACUCAAAGGAAUUGACGGGGACCCGCACAAGCGGUGGAGCAUGUGGUUUAAUUCGAAGCAACGCGAAGAACCUUACCAGGUCUUGACAUCCUUUGAAGCUUUUAGAGAUAGAAGUGUUCUCUUCGGAGACAAAGUGACAGGUGGUGCAUGGUCGUCGUCAGCUCGUGUCGUGAGAUGUUGGGUUAAGUCCCGCAACGAGCGCAACCCUUAUUGUUAGUUGCCAGCAUUCAGAUGGGCACUCUAGCGAGACUGCCGGUGACAAACCGGAGGAAGGCGGGGACGACGUCAGAUCAUCAUGCCCCUUAUGACCUGGGCUACACACGUGCUACAAUGGCGUAUACAACGAGUUGCCAACCCGCGAGGGUGAGCUAAUCUCUUAAAGUACGUCUCAGUUCGGAUUGUAGUCUGCAACUCGACUACAUGAAGUCGGAAUCGCUAGUAAUCGCGGAUCAGCACGCCGCGGUGAAUACGUUCCCGGGUCUUGUACACACCGC